UCUAAACAAGUUUUGGUCUCUAAAGGACCCCUGGAUCAAGUCUACCUCCUUGCUACUUCAAACAGUUUCAUCGCAGAUGUUUUCAGAACCCGUGGUGGGUAACAAACUGAAGGACUGAGAGGAGCUAGAGGAAAAAAAUCCUCUCUUUUCUCAUGUCAGGGGGUGCACUGUUACAUUCUGGUGGGACAGCCAGCAGAACAGGUAGUUUAGAAUGCUAUUCCUUAGAAACAGCUUGUGUAGCAACACCAAGUGUUCUUCCCUGUGUCCUAGUCUGCUCUUUUCCAUCACUGUUUCCAGCCUGAGGGAUGUCUCUGUACCGUACGAAGAGGGGCUGUGGCCAGCAAACAACAACCAACCAAGCAAAAAGCAAAGUUCUUCAGAUAAUCUCCUCCACUUCUGAUAGUGCUUGUGCCUAGAUGUUGGUGGAAGAAAAAUAGCCCCCAAAAGGGAGCAACAAUCAAAUUCUUAAUCUCUUUGAAAUAUCAGUUUGAUGCCGUGGAAGACACUGAAAGUCACAGAGACUGAAGUCUCCUGCGUAUCAAUGAGGUUGUUUUGCACUACAGCCACGUGAGUGCAGAGAAGUGCAGCAGUGGGACAGAAGGGAGUAGAGAGUGCCAAAGCCACUUCAGAACUGAGAGGACUUGAAGUUUUGAAGGCAAAAGCCAAUCAUUUAUUUUGGAAGCGGUUCUUACUCUUUACUAACACAGGCACCCUGGUGAAAGCCAGAUCCAGCCCCAAGGGCCAAGGAGAUUCAUUAAGCCAGAUUAAACAUCUCAUUUUAUUUAGGAGCAGCUGUGAGAGAUGCCUUUGCAUUGUAUGCAGCUUUCCUGCAGGAAUUUCAUGAUAGCAAACUCCUGGCACUUCCUCUCCCUGAACAAGCAGGAGUCGAUCUAGCACAAAGUCAUUAUUUUCAAUGUGUUCAGCCAGAAAAAGAAAAAAGGCAUGACUUUUAAAUCCUCACUACUAACACAGCCAAGCAGAUUCUUCUUCUGGAACUCACUUUUGGGUUGAAAAUAUGAGCAAAGAGUUCGAGCCCCUGCAGCAAUUGUCUUGGAAAGUUUUAAGCUACUGAAGAUAGCGGGUUUAGGACCAUAACUACAAUAAACACAGAAAAUGAAUAAGAGUCUUCUGGCAAGAAUAAACCAGAAUUGCAGGGGCUGAUGUUGCCAGUGAAAAGAACAGGAAGGUAACCAAGUGAAGAAACAGCAUAAGGAGGAUUAUCCUUAUUUGGAAGCAAUCCAUUCCAGCAAUAAAUUAAGCCAAGGAUCUCUGCAUCAGAAAACAGCAGGGCAACCUAUUAAGCUAAAGGACAAUCUGCUUUUUCUGUCACCUUUGAGCCCUGACCGAAUGGCGAGAGAAAAAAACAUGCCAGAGAUCAAAACAUACGUUGUUUCAGUAGCAGUAACAGUUGGAUGGAAGUUAUAGAGACUGUGAAAUCCUUUCCCUGCACAUUCCCACCACAACAAGCACCUGAUCUUCAGCAACAAUAUUCCUGGACUGCAAUGGUCAUAAAGAUCAACUCACAAAAGCGGGCUUGGAUAGAAGAAAAAUGAAAAUUUGUAUUUUAUGUCAAAAACAUAGUAGAGCUCACCCCAGCUGCUGGGAUGGGAUCAGGUGAAAUACUCAGUGCAGACUGGUGAAGCAUUUUUCACAGUGGUAUUAGAAGACAGUGGUAGAAGAGGGGAAAGAAAAUAAAUCUCUAUACACUUUUAGCUCAAAGGGGUCUCUGGAUCUGUCAGCUGUAGCACAUGAGAGUAUGUACACACUGGUGUGCUCCAGAGCCACAUUUACUGCAGGGAAGCAGCAUCCACAAUUAAGGGAUUUCUGAGGGGCAAAGACAGGCUCUGUUUCACAGGUGUUUAAAUUACAAAGCAGCAUUCCCUAAAAUGAACACCCUAUCCAGAACAGGGAAAACAGUUGAAAGAAGAGUACUACCAAAUCUUAAAUGUAUAGCAUCCACAUGUAUAAUAUGAUCAAAAAGAGAUUAGUUGGAUUUUGGA